rnacentral:lncRNA from 1 species
UUUGUAUCAAAGCAAGCUGGAUAAAAUAUUUUUAUAGAAAAAUGUUAAUGCAGAAAUCUUGAGUUACAGUGGCGGAUCUUGACCUAAAACUCAGCAUGGGCCGAUGUUUUUUGGAGAUAAAAUCAGCCUGGGCCGAAUCAAUACACAUUUAAAAACAUUCUCGAAAACCUGAAAUUUAACACUACUGGGCUAAAAAACCGCACGGGCCGAGGCCCGGUCCGGCCUCCUCUAAGCUCCUCCCCUGUUGAGUUAGUACCCCAAAUGACCACUCUACCAUGUUUAUAGAAUAUAACUUUUCGCAAUUAAAAAAUAUAUGUGAAUGCAUGUUUUUAAGCGUACGUAUAGAUUGUGGCAUGGAUGCAUAAUGCAUGAAUAUGGUUUUAUGAAAGUGACUUAAAACAAAAAUCAUUAAAUAACAAAGCUUUUGAAAACAUCCAAAAACCUUUAAGAGAAAUUAAGCAAAUAUGAGCAGGGGCGGAUCUAGUGUAUAACAGGAGGUAACGCCCGCUACCUCUUGGCACUCCGGCGGUAGUGUAAAAUUAGUGUAAAUUUUAGAAAAAUUUGAUGUUUUUUUUCUAUUUCGUUACCGCUUAUUUAUAAAACGUUACCGCUUGGCGCGAAUUCUAGAUCCGCCACUGAAUAUGAGUAUUUGCCCCUGCACUUGUACCGGGUGAUUUGGUGAAUAUUGAAGAAGUUGGACCAAAGAAAAAUGAAGAAUAAGAGGAUGCAUACUUUUAAGGACAUCAAAGAGUACGAGAUUAGCAACCUUGGAGUAAAGCUUAAACCUUGAUUGAUAUGGUUUCGCAUAUGUACGCCGCUUUGUAGAUUCCUAAGAAUAUUCUCCGACGGAUGAUAAGAUAAAGACCGAGGUACAAGCUUAUCAUAAAAAAAUGUCACGUGGAAAAGAGAAACUAACGAACUCCAUAGCUUCUACAACACAAAAUACACUUGUAGAGAAAAUCUAUUUCAAAG